rnacentral:rRNA from 1 species
UACGGGGGGGGCAAGCGUUGUUCGGAAUUACUGGGCGUAAAGGGCGCGUAGGCGGUCAGAUAAGUCAGCUGUGAAAACCUCGGGCUUAACCCGAGGCCUGCAGUUGAAACUGUUUGGCUGGAGUGUGGGAGAGGAGAGUGGAAUUCCCGGUGGUAGCGGUGAAAUGCGUAGAUAUCGGAAGGAACGCCGGUGGCGAAAGCGACGUGCUGGACCUUUUCUGACGCUGAUGCGCGAAAGCCAGGGGAGCAAACGGG